UCCAAUCAUCCAGUCAAUAACAAUGGUACCCAGUGUGUUCUGCAUUUCAGUUUACAAAGUCCUGUCACAUGCCUUUGCUUCCUUUCAUUUCAUCUCAUGAUACUCCUGGGAGUUAUUUCCUCCAAUAUUUCAUGGGUGAGAAAACAGCCUGGCACCCCCUAAAGGGGAAGUGAGGAGACUUUUUAGGUCACCUAGGAAGCUGCACAAGCCGACUGUGACUCCAAAUCGUGUUCUCCCCAUUAUCUACCAAGGCUCCCUUCAGGGAGGACUCACAGCAAAGGAAGCCCCGCCCCCGCCAGUAUAAUUAACUGCAUGCAGGUCUGUUUAAAUCUGGGUGUGCAGGUUUGAAGGUAGGAAGAUGGCUGCAUCACCAGGACAACACCCUGCUCUAGGGCUUGGGCUCCUAUAUACGCUGGUACAGGAGUUUUGACCUAAGAGAUGACUCAGGCUCCAAGUCUUCCAAGCAAAGCAUUACUUCAAUUUUUGAGAGAAAUGCCUCCUGAGCUCCCACAAUCCUCAGGGAGGCACAAGGAGACUCUGAGGUCCCAGACUCUGAGCUCCCUGGGGAUAGAACUCAAUGUGACUGCCCGGUGUCUGCUGCUUAGUCAAGGUUCCAUCUCAGCAAUAUUUGUUCCAUGAACAAAUGAAAAAGCAAACAGAGAGCUAGAGAACAUUCACUUCAGAAAGUUGGAAAGGGCCUUUGAAAUGCUUUGUUCUCAUCCCUUCACAUCAGAGUUGGUGGGAUGGAUGGAGAUCCAAAGAAGGUAGAUAACUCAGCCAAAGCCUCAGUCUACUCAGAUUCUUAUUGUCUUUUCUAUCCUCCAUCUUAUUUUUU
rnacentral:lncRNA from 1 species